AUUUUGACCCAUUUUCGGCCUAAACGGGCCUGAAACGGCCUGAACUGGGCCAAUCCUAAAAAGCACCGGAACAUAGCCGAUAUGGGUGUCAUUUUUCAGGAAAUUUUGUGAAAAAUUCAAAUUUUCUAUUAAAAAUGCUUAGAAAUUAGCGGAACUCAGAAAAUAAAAAAAAAUCGGUGAAAAUUUUUUUUUUUUUGAAAAAUCAUAUUUUCAUUAUCAAAAAUUUUCCUGGUAAUUUCACAACACUUUUGUUAAAAAAUUUGAAUUCUACGCAAAAUUCGCAUUAAAUUUGACCCCAUA
ensembl:ncRNA ZC15.11 ncRNA